UGUCAGAUGAGAAAAAAGAAGAAACCCGCAUAAUGCUCUUGCUUGUAUCACUACUCUUUAAUAAGCUUGACAUAACGGCCUCGCCUCUAUUCGAAUAGAGGGUGUACAUAUAACAUAUUAAACACGUCUGUAACAUAUUGUCAGCGAAUGUGUUAAUUUAAACAAUCAUAAUAUGAAAACGUUUAAUGUAGAGGAAACAUUCAAACAAAGACACAUAGGCUUCUAUACUAGGAUUUGUGUUUUUGUUUUUUAUAUCAGAAAUAAAAAAGAACAUUUAUAGCUCAAUAAAUCAUGUUAAAGAUGAAUUAAAUAUAGAAUAGAAUUUUCAGUGCAAAAAUCUCCUGGUUAGCUGGGUACCAGGGUGAGGUGCACUGUAAUAAGGUUGGUUUAGUGAGCGCCUCAGUGCAGACUUUUGAGUGAGCAAAUACAGUAUGAGAAAACGGUGGGUCAACAGAGGAAAUUCUGUGGUGAUACAGUUUUGAAAUAAAGUACAAUAUGAAAACAGAACCGUUUUGAAUUCAUCCUUACAAUAUAUCACUUUUUUUUAUUGCAUCUCACAUUUGUUUAUUUAAUUCACUGACAUAUAUGCAUUCGUGCUCAAGCCUACUGUGCUGUAUGUUAAAUGUGUCUCUGUGAAAUCCUUGAACAGUAAUCAUUUAAAAAGCUGAGAAGAAUAUGAUUCAUGUCUUCCGAAGUCCUCAAGUCUGCUACCAUCCUUCUCUUCUGCGGCUGUCAGAGUAAAUCCAGAGCAAACUGCCCUUUCGUUUGAGUAAAUGCCCUUGCUGUUUGCACAGAAAGAGUCUACUACUGAUGUAUAUCUACAGCUACUGGAUAACAUGACUACACCAGAUAAAAGUAUAGUAGGACUCAGAUCAACACAAUCCAUCAGGUCGCAAAGGGUGCAGACAUUCACCCCCACACAACAACAACCAUCAGUUACACACACACACACACACACACACACAGACAGACAGACAGAGGGCGAGAGAGGGUGAGAGAGAGAGAGGGCGAGAGAGGGCGAGAGAGAGAGAGAGAGAGAGGGCGAGAAGAGAGAGGGCGAGAGAGGGCGAGAGAGGGCGAGAGAGGGCAAGAGAGAGAAAGAGAGAGAGAGAGAGAGAGAGGGCGAGAGAGAGAGAGGGCGAGAGAGAGAGAGGGCGAGAGAGAGAGGGCGAGAGAGAGAGAGGGCGAGAGAGAGGGCGAGAGAGAGAGAGAGGGCGAGAGAGGCGAGAGAGAGAGCGAGAGAGAAAGAGCGUCUAUCAAACCAAAAUUGUUUCUCUGAAAACUCCCAGAACAUUUGUUAGGUUGCGGCAAAUGUUAUCAUAACAGGGCGAGAGAGAGGGCGAGAGAGAGAGAGAGAGGGCGAGAGAGGGCGAGAGAGAGAGCGAGAGAGAGAGGGCGAGAGAGAGAGGGCGAGAGAGAGAGGGCGAGAGAGAGAGAGCGAGAGAGGCGAGAGAGGGCGAGAGAGAGAGCGAGAGAGAGAGGGCGAGAGAGAAAGAGCGUCUAACAAACCAAAAUUGUUUCUCUGAAAACUCCCAGAACAUUUGUUAGGUGCGGCAAAUGUUAUCAUAACAGGGCGAGAGAGAGAGCGAGAGGGCGAGAGAGAGAGGGCGAGAGAGAGAGCGAGAGAGAGAGAGAGAGGGCGAGAGAGAGAGGGCGAGAGAGAGAGAGGGCGAGAGAGAGAGCGAGAGAGAGAGAGCGAGAGAGAAAGAGCGUCUAACAAACCAAAAUUGUUUCUCUGAAAACUCCCAGAACAUUUGUUAGGUUGCGGUAAAUGUUAUCAUAACACAAAAACUGUCCCGUCGUGCUGAUGAUUAUACAAUGUUUGUAUAAACAUUUGCCUGAUGUUGCAAGAACGUUCCCAGAACAUUGCGUAUACAUUUUGUUGCAACAGUAUGUUCAAAAAACAUUGCUGGUACAUUGUGUUAUUACAUUACCAGGAAACAUAACGAGAAUGUUGUUUGGGGAAUGGUGGUUGUUACAGAUGUUGUGCGUUUUUGUGAAUGUUAGGAGAACGUCCUAAUUUUGUAUAAAAACCCUUUCUUAUGUUCUGGGUAUGUUCCCGGUUUGCUGGGCAGUCUGUCCUGUCUCUUCACUGGGGUCAGCCAGUCAAGUCAGGUGAACCAUGAGAGUCCAUACAGCACAGUCCAUACAGCACAGUCCAUACAGCACAGUCCAUACACUACACACUGUAGCAAUAGAAUAGUGUUGACAUUCAAAAGAGUGUCACUGAUCCUUAUCAAAUCUUUCAGAUUUUGUAGAAUCUAAGAAGAAGCCUGCUCCCUCUUCUCUCCUCUGACUUUCAUUUCCCUCGGCUUUGACUGCGAUGGAAAUAUCCCUUGCUGCUGUGUCGGCUCCACGGACAGCAUAACUCACAAGAACUGCCAAAAUAAUGCCUAUAGGAAUUCCAGUACAUGCGCCAAGUGUUCCAUGUUCUGCACCUGCAACUGCUCCCAUGAGUGCCCCCACUACAGCAGUCAUAAUCACUAUUAGUGGUUUGACGUAGUGGCCCACCACAGACAAGGCCUCUUCCCUGUAUCCUUGCUUGACGGCCUGUAGGUCCACCUUCUGAUGGUCAGCCAUUACCGACCCGUCCUCUUCUCUGUGCUUACUUCAAAGAAUAAACACACACACAGAGACAGUUCAUGAAUCAGAUCACCGUUACAGAUGUAGGAUCUUAAAUUUGAGCCAGUUUGCUAAAGCAGGAAAAUAAACCUGCAGCAAUAGGGAAUGUGAAUUAUUACGUGGAUUAUUUUUUAAGGACAGUUCUGUAGUGGUUGAUACAUUUUUCCUUUGGGUAAAUCUAGUCUGAAAUGUCAAAGUGGAAAUUACUAACUUUAGAAGCAAUUUUAAAU
ensembl:lncRNA